GAUGAACGCUAGCUACAGGCUUAACACAUGCAAGUCGCGGGGCAGCAUGGGGGUUGCUUGCAAUCCCCGAUGGCGACCGGCGCACGGGUGAGUAACGCGUAUCCAACCUGCCCUUCACCACGGGAUAACCCGGCGAAAGUCGGACUAAUACCGUAUGUUGUCCAUUGACGGCCUCCGAUUUGGACGAAAGGCUUGGCGGUGAGGGAUGGGGAUGCGUCCGAUUAGCCAGACGGCGGGGUAACGGCCCACCGUGGCUACGAUCGGUAGGGGUUCUGAGAGGAAGGUCCCCCACACUGGAACUGAGACACGGUCCAGACUCCUACGGGAGGCAGCAGUGAGGAAUAUUGGUCAAUGGGCGUAAGCCUGAACCAGCCAAGUAGCGUGCAGGAUGACGGCCCUAUGGGUUGUAAACUGCUUUUAUGCGGGGAUAAAGUGGCCCACGUGUGGGCUUUUGCAGGUACCGCAUGAAUAAGGACCGGCUAAUUCCGU
rnacentral:rRNA from 1 species